AGCUGCCACUGCUCUGCCGAACAGCCGCAGGGGUGGUGAAAGGCCAUGACAGCUCACCAGGUGCCAGAGGUUUGCGCAUAUUUUCAAAUAUCACGUUUCAAACAGAGGUGUGAGUGGAGGUUUUGUCACUUCAGUCAAGCCACAAAUGAGCCAAGAUUCUGCACAGGGCACUUGUGAGUUCCAUGAUGGGAGAGCACCCUGAGAGCUGUGAUGGACAAAAACGAUUGGAAAAAGGGGGGAGAGGACAGGUGGGACAUAUUGCAUCCUGAAAGGCGCACCAGUCCAAGAAAGGAUCGAGAGGCUGUGAGAGCUCUCAAACAAACCCACUGACGGUUUUUGCCUGAGCACUUGGACGGACUCGAGGAAUGUGCACCUGCUCUACCGCUCAAUUCCUGCAGCAGCUCAUGUGCAAAAAGGGAAGAAAGACUUAACUUUGAAGGUAACAGAGCACUGGAAUAGGCCGCCCGUGGAGGUGCUGAAGUCUGCUUCUCUGGAGGUAUUCAAGACCUCCCCCAGUCAACUUUCCCGUGCAACCUACUGAACGGAACCUGUGCUAGCAGGGGGUUGGGCUUUAGCGGUCCCUCCGAAUCUGUACGAUUCUGUGAUUCUCACCAUUUAGGUGGGACAGAGGAAUCCUUCCCUCCAAGCCCUGCACCUGACCCACGCUCCUUGCCAAGCAACAGCCCGAGGUCCCCACGUGCCGCAGAGCACGCCGGCACCGCUCAGCACCAACCGCUGCAGGAGCCAACGGCUCCCGGGGCAGGAAAAGAGAAAGAAGCGGGAAGCGCGGGGAGCCCUCAGCUGUUAGCAGGGCGGGAGCGGCUCCGUAACUGCUAACGGAAAAGUCACUGCUGCUUUUCGCUCCGACGGGAACUUCUCCCGAACAAGUAACCACGCUGAGUUCUGAACGCGACACCGAAGAGAUGAGGACUUCACAACGCUCCGUGCCCCCCACGCGAAGCGGAGCUGCGGAGGAACGAGCGCUGCCUGCCCGCCCGCCCACCGCGCUCCGUUCCCUCUGCCCGAGCCCCGCCGCCUCCCGCCGAGCGCGGGGUUCAGGCCCGGAGCUGCCCCAGGCGGAGAUCCCACGCCCGGUUCCGGCCGCGUCCCGCAGCGAACUCCGCCGGGCGGCCCGCUCGGCCCCAGGGCUUCUCGUCCGUUCCUCCCGGCUACAAGGAGGCGGAGGGCACAGUCCUCCAGCUAGGAACUGCUGCAGACCUGACAGGUGUAUGGGAGGCCAGCAAGCAGCUCCUGUGGGUCAGUCUUCAUGGAAGAUUACAGCUGGAAGCUGGGCAACCAAAGCUUGACCAGCAGUAGUGAAGGUGAACACAGUGGGAAUGAGAAGUUUUUAUAAGAGUUGUGGGUGUGUCCUGCCUUUCCCACACCACUAUAUCCAGCAAACACAGAGCUGGGUGCUGCAAAGUCCCAUACAAGGCAUCCAGGUAUCUCAAGCUGUCAGGUCCCUCACGAGAUAAGGACAUGAAUUCCAUGGUGGGACAUCCCUCCUACAAUGGAGAAUUUGCACAAUUGGAAUACAGCAUUGGAGAGAGAGCAAAUUCCCCACGUCUGCUGGAUAAAAUGUUAACUCUGAAGGAUAGUGAUGUCUGUGUAAACGGUGUUUGUUUGGAUACUCCAAGCCACGUUUACACUCUGGUGUGCCAGAAUGAACCUUUGGCUUACUGACCUUCCUCUUUCUCCUGCAUGCAACCCUUUGUGCUGUGCCAGCACACUGUGUAUGCUGGAGCUGGGAGUUAGAUGACAACUAGCUCAGAGGAACAGUAUUUUGUUUUCAGAUAGAUUGCUUUCAGGAUUUGGUGGCAGCAAGGAUACACAAACAGGUACAGUUUAGGGGCAGCAGAAUCCAGCAGAGAGAUGGACACAAACAGUAUGAGCUGGACCUGGUAUCAGGAUGAUACAACAAGGGAAUAAGGGACCAGCACCAUGCCAGAAACUUCCAUGACCACACCUGGCUGCACUCCUCUCACUCCAACCCAUGCAGGAUAGAGAAGCAGGAAAGGGGACAGGUGAGAGUAGAAACUCAUUUUUGGAUUCUCCUUCUCCCUGCUGCCACAGCAACACAGAGGAAACAAGGUGGUUCUGCUUGCAUCACUUUGGUUGCCUUACAUGCCGUCCAUUAUGCUGGUGCAGCUCUCUGUGCAGUUAUGUAGUCAGUCAGAUCUAGAAAUGGCUUAAAAAAACCCAGCACCUUCCUCAUCCCCAUUAUUUUCACUCUGGCUCAGUGCCCAGGUAUGAUUUUACCCCAUCUCUGCAGAGGUGCAGCUGGAGCAAGAGCAUUGGAGGGGGAAAGAAGCAAGGGGCAUAGGGAUCUGCUUAAAUACACAGUGCCCCCUCCCCCACAUGGCCCAUGGCACAGUCCCUGGAGGAGAGAUUCUUGCUCAACAACCACAGGCAAUGUAUUUGUCAAAAUUAGGGAGAUCAAGAAAGAGGAAAUAAAGGUUGAAUCCAUGCAGGCACGUGCAGUAUUUGCAUACUGUUUUCCUCCGCAAAACAUAAAAGGAAGCCUGAAUGUAAUCAUGUUAGGAAUGCUCCCUUUCCCCUCCCAUUUAAUCUAAGCAUUAUGUGUGACAUUCUCCUCAGAGUAUAAGACAGCAACCCUGCAGACCGCUUAAGCAGGGACGUUGCCUUUAACACCUAACUGUUCCUGCUGAGGUCAGUGGCAGCACUUGCAUGUUUAUAGUUACACAUGCUUAAAUACUUUGUUAGGUCACCAGCUAAUUUAAGAACAGAGAAGCACAGCUUCAGAAGAGAAAAAUAGGUUAAUAAUGCUGAAGUUGCAGCAAAUUGUAGGAAAACUGGAAUAGGUUCAUCAUUAGUGAAUCUCUGCUAUUCAAAGGAAAUUUUUCACCUUUUUGGGUCCUGCUCACUGCCUUGCAUUCCUGAUGAUCUGUGUGUGCGCAGCAGUUUUAGAAGCUUGUUAGACUGAUCAUCAGACCUUGACCUGAUCUUAUCAGUGAACUCAGGUAAGGUUUUAGACUUGAAAUCCCUUUAUCUUAAACCCUGAAGUUUUAUUCACUUUUUCAUGAAGUUAGUCUAAUGAAAAAAACCUGUAUCUUUUAUCUUUAGCCUGUCACAGCUGCAGCACAGUGUAUCUGUAAGAGGGCUAUAAGCAGCCUGUCAUCAAGGCUAUGCUGAUCCUGUCAGCUUUACCCUCACGCCCCAGGGCUGGCUGGUGUCUUGGAGCACCCUGCACCCCAGCAGCAGCGUGGUAUCUCAGUUUUUGCAGAGAAGUUGGGUAAGAGAAACUUGCCAAGAAACCCUCUAUUCAGCUGACCAAAGCAGAAGCUGCAAUACUACGGUGCAACACUUGGAUACUAGGUUUGAAUUCAGGGACAUAGAAGAAAUGGGUAAGCACUUUCUUUGCAAAAUAGCUCCAACAGGAGGUCUGCAAGCCCCAGCGGCUUGUAAAGCAGAGCUGGACAGCAGAAGGCACCCAAGAACCGACGCAUUUUUUUGUUUCAUGGCCUCCUGUCAUUCCUGAAACACUUUCUCUGGGACUCAGGGAAGACACACAAUAGUUUUGCUUUGGCCAACAACUAUAUUACAAUGUUCAGGGCACCUACCUUCCUAAUGGAGGGAAUUAGAUGCUAGUAUCUCAGUGAUUGUAGCAUGGCCCUGUUCAGCAACUCCCGGGUAGUUGCUUUCCAAUAUGAUUCAAUGGAGAACAAAAAACCCUCAGUAGAAAGAUGUGGGGUUAAGACUUCUCUGGCAACAAAACUGAGUAAUCUCAAUCACUACCUUCAAAAAUGUGUGCCCUUGGGCCCUGGCCAGCCAUCCACUCUGUCAACAUCUUUACUGCCAACUUUACUCACAGGGGCACGAAUGUAAAUCUAGUGUGAGAAAAGGAUUAAGCCCAUUCUGAUUUUUAUGGCCUAUGAAAUGUGUGCUGCUUUGCUGUUACUACACAGUGGUAAACAAUACAGAAAAAGGGGAUUCAGGCUGGUAUUGCAUAUUUAAAAUUUCUAAGGAAAAACAUGUAAUCCUAGAUACUACCAACCAGUGCAGUGUAUACAAGGUUUCUUCUAAGUCAGAAGCUAAAAGCCUGUACCUUGCCAGAUGCUGGUUGAGGUAUGCUACUUUUCUCCUGCAAAAUAAGAUUAGCAACACCAAUUUUCCAUGCAUUCAAGUUUGGCAUUUUCUCUGCAAGGAGAUUAAAGCCCAGGCAAACACAAAUCUGCCUGGAUACUGCCCUGCUCUGUGUGUAGCUCUCACUUGGGAUGAGUCCUGUGCUGUUCAGGAAUCCCACUAAAAUGAGUAUUUCUUCACUGAUGAUUCAGUUGGCUGAGAUUUGCAAGAAGAAUGGAGAGAAUUAGAUGCUAGCUUCUUAAAUUUCAGUAGGAAAUGUGUUCCUGACUCCUUUAGGUUGAUGUUUUCAUACAUAUACAAAGACUGAAGAAGGUUCUUUUACUAUGAUAUCUAUGAUUGGAGAUUUCAGGCAAUAUCUUUUGAGUCUAGAUUUCAUAGCAGAACCUCAAUGCAAACACUAGUAAGCAAUUGUCAGGACUAUUACUAGUGUAACUCCAUAGAGUUGUCAGCAGAAAAGCAUCUGAGCUAAGUACUUGUUCAUUAAAGGUGCAGAACAAUGAGUAUAUAUGCACAUGCCUGAAAAGCAGACAAUAUUUAUAAUGAAUCCCGGGGCAGAAGAUACAAAUAAUUUAUUAUUUUUAAUUCACUACCCUUAUUAUUUUCUGAUUUAAACUGUUUUCUAGAUGAAAAGUCUCAUUGAGUAGCUCAGGUAGUGUGAAGUUGCCGUUGUGUAUAGCGGAACAUUUUCUGUACAACUGUGACUUUUUCUGAGUCCUCUCAGCUCCAAUUUUGUGCAGAGCAGACUGAAAAUCAGCACGUGGAGCAGUGAUCCCCUGUUUUGGUACUUAGUGCUGUUUGUGUUGGCAUCCUGGAUAUAUUUACUGAACUGUCAUCUGUUAUAGAUGAUAUGGGACAGCUCUGAUGUUUUGAUAAGCAUUGACUGGGAGCAUCACACAGAGUCUUUAAAUUGUUCCUUCAUUUACACACCCAUCUAUUUUGAAAGCUGCUUUAUAGGCUGUGUCCUCUCCCUUAAGCCCAGUGAGAGGUUUCCAAGCUACUGAACCUUCUGCAGCAGUGCAGGAAGCCUCCAGCUCCUGAGUAAAUGGCUUUAUAUUGAUUGGCAAAUAGUUUUCCUGAAACCAAAUGAAAUGUGUGCUAAAUAAGAGGCUAUUGCAUUUUCUGACUGUGUCAGACUCUCCCUGCAGCAUGGCCCAGUCCACCUGGCAGUGUCAUCCUCCCCAUGACAAACCCAGCUAUUUUUGUCUGCUGAGGCCCUAUUACCAGGCAUGGGGGAAUUACUGCACCACCAAAGCUCUGCUUCACAGAGGGCACUGGUCAGUGCUGUGCCAACACACACCGCGUGCCUCUUUUCUCCAUCUAUUUCUCCAUACAGCUUUGGGAUCCUUGUGAAGGACCACACAGUUCUCCUCCCACCCCCCAGGUGCAGAUCAUGUCCCAGCUUUGGUCACCAUCUCCCCAGUCUCUGUCCCUUGUUUUGCAAAAAUAAGUAUUUUUUCUGGAUUCAAUUUCUGCAGAAUAUCUACUGACAUGCAGGCCAGCACAGUGCUUUGUUAUUUAUCACAUGUACUGCUGGUGUUGGAAAAAGCAAUCUCAAACAAGCACACCUUGCAGGCGCGAGGGAAACUUCAUGAUGAUCAUAGUUCUGGAAUGCAUUAUUAUGAGGGUUUGUAGUGUUGAGUGUGUCAUUCGAGGUGCCUGUGCCCAUUGCUGCUGGAGGUGGGCAGAGGUGAGACAAGCCCCAGCUUCUGAUGGUUGAAGCCAUGCAUGAGCUUUGCUGGGGUUUGAUGGCUGGGGUCAAAAUGGUCCCAAUGGAUGGCCAGAGCAAGAGGGCGGAGGAGCUCCCAGCAGAGAAGAAGCUCAUACAGAUGAGAAGGAGCAGAUGAAACAUAGGCAUGAAGAACAAAGAAAUCCUGGCAGAGGAUGUGGCUCUGGUAGAGAGGAUGGUUAACACAAGACCUCGCUGCUGCUUCUUCCCUACCAUCUCCAGCCAGCUGGUCUUCACCUCUUCACCACUGGACUGGCACUUCUGGAAUUCAUAUAUCUCAGCCUAAAUGAGCCAACGCAUCUGAAAAAUGGCCCUGAGGAAGGCAUGUGGGUGGUUUUCUGUUGAGUGACCAGAUUCAAUGCAUGGGACCAUGGCUGACAGCUCAGAAAAGGAGGAGCAGGGCUGCAGCUCAUGGCAGCUCUACCCAUGCAGGUAAGUGUGAGCCACUUCUGUAUCUAAGCCAGGCAGCCACAGAGAUGGGAUCCCAUGCUGAACUAUCACAGCUGUGCCACAUAGGGUCAUACAAUAGCUCGGGUUGGAAAAGACCUUAAACGUCAUCAAAUCCAACCCUCCUACAUCAGAUCUAGUGAUGGGAGGCCCCAGAAUGGGUCAUGUCAACCAGCAGACACAACAGAAAACUGCUGUCUGUGAAGGUACUUUUUGGGAUGCUUUCUGAUUAAUCUGAUCUGCUUUAAUGAACAAAUUAAUCACAUGGUCAUGUCAUCACAAGGUGUAAUAUGCAUUGUUUUAUACUAUGUCUAAGAAUGUCUGCUUGCUUGCAGCUCCCUUUUCCCUCCCCAUGGCAUGUGUGGCUGUGCAGAACUCAUUGACCACACUCAGGGAGAUAAAGCAACCAACAGAGAAUAACAUCAGAGUCUGGCUUGGCUGGUUUAGCUCCCUGACUCAAAGUGGAAAUCUUAACUGGAUUCACCAGUUCAAUGAGCUGAGCUGUACCCUGAAGCCAUCCCUCCAGUGUGGCCAGGCUCAGGAGGAAGAGAGUGGGACCACAGCAAGACCUGCAAUGCCAGCCAGUGGGAGGAUACCAAAGAUGAUGACAAGAUGUGCAAUGAACUGGAUGUGCCGCCUGCCUGGGAUGAGAAGCCAGGUCAAGGUUUCACCGGUAAUACAAGAAAGGCUGCAGGCAGACAUGCAUAAGCACAUUGUAUUUCUAUAAAUAUUACUUGAUAUAAGGAGACAUCUCAUUAUGAGGCUUGACUCUUGCUUGUCUAAGCAAAGGAAUGCUGGAUGUGGGACAGCAUGUGCUCGUUGAAGCAAUGAGAUUGCUCAUCUGUCCCUGAGAAAGCUCUGGGUGACACAGAGAUUCUUUUAUUCCUCUGCUACCACGGACCAAAACAAAUCACUCUUCUAUGGAAGGCAAGAUCCCCAUCUUCCAGGAUGCUCCUGGAGCUUCAAACGCUGCCAGGACACAGGCACUGAAGACAUCAGGAAUAUUACGGCUGUGUUAAGGAGGGGCUGCCGUGGCUCGUAUAGAAACGAGUGCCUCAUUUCCAAAAAAGCAAAUGCAAUUGAACAAGCAUAAGAAUCCUGGUGUCUGCCGCAGCUUCUGCGGUUUGCAGAAGCAACACUGACAUCUAGCGGGGCAAGCUGAAAUGCUCAUCAGAAUGGUUAGGUUGGAAGGGACCUUACAGGACAUCCAGUCCCACUCCCUACCGUGGGCUGAUUGCCUCCCACCAGCUCAGGCUGCCCAGGGCCUUGGACACCUCCAGGGAUGGGGCACCCACAGCUCUGUGCAGCAGUGCCAGGGCCUCACCACUCUGAGUAAAAAAAUUCUUUCUAACAUCUAAUCUGAAUUUCCCCUCUUAUUUUAAAGCCCUUCCACCUUUAUCCUAUCACUAUUAGGCUGUGUGAAUCACAGUGAUCACUCUGGGCUAGCAAGUGAUGAGCAUUCAGGAGCAAUUUAUUGAAGCAGGAAUUGCUACCACUGGAACUAGCUGUUGGAAAUGCCUCUACAAAAUGUUUUGAAGGUGUAUCCCAAUAUUUGUAAAUGGCAUGUGACCCCAAGUUUCUCCAUUCAGGAAGGGAGGACAGACUGAAGACCAGCCCUGCUGUGUUUGAAACAUCAUGGAAUCAAACUUUCUUGCUCUAGCCUUAAAGCUGACAGCAACAGAAGAAAGUGAUUUUUGGCUGGUUUGAACCAUUGCAUGCUUGCUUAAGUGCAGAAUAACAGCAUGCAAUAUGCACCAUCCCCUUGCAAUCAUGAAAACAUGAGAGACAGGAAUUUUUAUCUGUGCUGCCUUGUGUGCUUUAAAAGAAUGAUUUGACGUGAAGCUGGAGCAAAAGAGAAGUUACAGGGAGGGGUGUUUCCCUGGAAAUCUUAAAAAGCAGUAGCUAGUUUUAUAGUCCAGAUAAGAACCAUGUGGAAGUGAAUGGAAGCUUAGAAACAUGUGCAAGACUAUGCUGGGAAAGUCCACUGUGAUGGCACCAGGAUUACUCACUUGGCUCAUGCCAUCACGUGUGUAGCCUUUCAACUACAUUAACUCCCUACUGGUUUAAUUUGUCUCCAAGAUCUGAAUUCCCUACCAGAAAAAUGGAGAGAGAAGAAGCUUUCAGGGGCAGCACCAGAGGUUCCCCAAGGAAAGGUGACCAUGGGGCUGCAAUGAUGGGGAUGCCAGUCUCCCACAGGCUGUGCAAAGAACACGACCCAGCAAUACAUGAAAACUCUGCCUUGUUUUUGCUUUGAAUUUGGUGAUAUGCAGAAAAGAAUGCCUAGUUUUCAUUUAUUUCAGGAAAUUUUUUGAAGAUUUCUAUGUCUGCAAAGAAUAUUUAUAAAAUAUGAAGAUUUUGAACAAAAAAUACUUCCUAUAUUCAAUCAAGGCCUUCAGUAAUGAUUUCUGUUACACAAUAAGCUAAAGCAUUCCGCAGUUCAACUUUGCUCAUUAAAACCCAACACAAAUAGAAAACACAGAUUGAUCAGGAUUACUUUGGUGUCCAGGUUAAAUCUCAAGGUAAAUACUGGACUCAUUUUUUCUACUCAGGGAGUGUAUUAGAUAGGCAAUAAAACCUCGUGUCCUCUUCCAUUACUGCAGCAAGAUCUCAGACCGUAUAAGGUCCUAUGAGGGGGCAGAGGGGGUGGGAUGUCAGUGCAAGGAAGGAUGCUGCACCCACCUCAUCAUACACCUUCUUUUGUUUGCCUUUGCAGUUGGAUGCUUUGUUAAGGCUUUAUAGGGAUACUGAAACUCAGCAUCAUCUCUAAGGGCAGACUGAUAUUUCACACUUACCAUAUAUGCUUUUGUAUGCAUUUUCUGUGGUCAGAAACCCAGCAGACGUGCACACACUGGCACCAUUCUCUGCCCAGCACAAACGUGAAAGCUGGAAGCCCUUCUGCCCUUCUGUGUGUGCCAGCUUGUGCCUUGCAGGUCACAGCAGCCUGCAGGCAGCCUUGAGUGUUCAGUCCCACCCCUUUUUUCCACUAAUGCUAUUGUUCAGCUCACAAAUACAGGGCUCCUGAUCCUUCCACACAGAACAAAGUGCCUGUGCCAAUAACUGAGUUCCCUGUCAAGAGUCAGGAGAUCUCUCCUCUUCCCUGCUUGAGGUGACCAAGCAGCAGUGCUCUUUUGUGUUUAUUUACCAUCAAUGCCUUAUUUUCAACCCCACCAUGUGCCCAUAGAACACAAUAAGUAGGGAAUCCUCACGUCAAUCAGGAGUUUUGAGGAUGAGAACAUCACUUAGCUUGACACUUCGGGCUAUCUACAUCCUAGGUGCUGUCCUUCAUGACUCUGGUGCCCCAUGUGGGUGAAACUUGCUUGUAAAUGCCACAUUUUGGGGAAGGACAUGAAGCUGUUGUGCAUCCAGUGCCUGAGGUGUUGUGACAGGCAUAGGAAAACAUGAGGGCUUUGCCCUAUGCUCCUUCCUGCACUGACAUUUUGCAGGUGGGUGGUGGCAAGGUUUGCUGAAUUCCCACAGCUGGAUGCACAUCAUACAUGUGGCCUUUAGGGAGAUGUAUUUGCUUGCAUGAGUUCAUGAUUUAGCAGAUGUCCAACCCAGCUGCAGCUCAGCAUGGUGUUCCCCUUCUCCCUGUUUCCAGGCUGGAUGUGGCCCUGGGCAGCCUGAUCUGGUGGUUGGUGACCCUGCUCAUAGCAGGGGGGUUGAAACUGGGUGAUCAUUGUGGAUCUUUUCAACACAGGCCAUUUUGUGAUUCAAUGAUUCUAUGAUUCUGUGAUUCUAUGAUUCUACCUCUGCCCCACUGAAUUCAAACUCUUUGAUCUGUGUGUUCACCCACAAUUUAUAAGUAAAUGUAAAUGAGUAAAUGCAAAUGACAACACAAUACAAUUUGAGCACAUGGCUGCAAAGACCUUGACAUUGUGAAAAGCAAGCCUCUGGCAAAUGGGUUAUAACUUCACAUUGCAAAGAUUACAUGCCAUUUAGAUAAGAACAUGCCACCUAUUCUAUUACUCUGUAUAAUGGCUUGAGUUUAAUCACUGAUAUGCUGAGAGGAGCUAUGCCUUCACUCCAGCCCUUGAAGUAAACCUGCUGCUUGCAAAGAUGUGAAUGGUCCCAAAGAAGUGGAACCAUGUGCUGUCCCCUCUCAGCCUUUCUAAAGACACAGACUUUCUUACAUUUUUAUGACCUGCCUCACUCCACUGCCAUUUGCUUGUUUCCCCAAUCCAAUGGAUUUCCUCAUUCUUUUCAAGAGAUGCAGAAGUUAUCCUCAAAAAGUGACUGAUGAUAUCCAGAGCUGGGUUACAGCUUUGAGCCAGCGCCCUUCCUGAGCUCUGCCAAGGCACUGAUUUAUUGUGCUUCAGAGCCAUGGCAUGAUGAGGAUUAAAAUCAAUUGUACAGAUGACGCAUGGGCUUUGCUUCCCAGGCUCUGGACAGCUGGGUCUACAGUAUCUUCUGCAUUUAUUUAAACAGGUGGCAAGCAAAAUAAGACAAACUCAUUCCAUGCUCUUUUAAUUCUCUGAAAUAGAUCUAAGCGAUUUUACUGUUUACACAGCAUAUAUAUAACAGUCAGUGAAGGAAAACAAAAUGUUGUUCUUUGGACAAAUUAUUUAACAUGUUUGUAAGUUUCCUAUUUGUAGGAAAUAGUAUGCAUUCCUAAGUCCUGUAAGUAAUAGCGACUGGCCUUUAUUGCAAUCUAGAACACAGUUGCCCUGUGUGAGACCCAACUGGGGCCUGCAGCUCAGAUGCACACCCUCCUGCUUGGCACCACAUUCCCAUGUCAUCAGAUUGGGAUUUCCUGCCUGGGAUUGUGCAUCACCUUCUUUAAAGUCACUGCAUGCAUACUGUAUCUACUCUCAUGUGUGAGCAGCAAAGUGCAGGAAAGUAGAGAAGGGAACUGAGACAUCAUUCAGCGCAUGAACUCUUCAAGUCUCCAUUGCCAUUUCAAUUGUCUUACUGUGCUGUAGAUACAUUUUUAACUACAGAAUUUGACUCAUGUACAAACACUGAAAAUAUCUGGCCACUGAGAGAACCUUUUUCAGCUGUAUC